rnacentral:lncRNA from 1 species
ACUAAAACUACCACUUUUAAGACAAUCUUUUGAAGGCGACACAAAAACCUUUACUUUUUGUAACGACUACAAGGGUAAAUGAUAGUCACUAAGAUUUAUGACAGUAAUUGCUUAAAAUAUUCUAUUUCCUUCAAUCUUUUCGGCGUCAAAAGUAAAGAACCAAUAAUCUAAAAUAAACGAACGGCGUCAAAAGUAACGAACCAAUAAUCUAAAAUAAGCGAACACGUAAAAGGUAGCAAAUAUCCGAUGAAAUAGUUAAUAUGGCACAAGUUAAUAUGAAUUUCACCAACAAUCCAAAUUUUGCCUUAUUAUGCAUUCAAGACCAAAAAAAAUGUUUCUAAGAAUUGAGACUACUAAAAAUGCUUGUGAUGAUGGUGAUGAUGGUGUCUUUGUUCAUCCCAUCCAAAGCAUUGCAAUAUAGGGUAAGAAGCCACAAAUAGGCACCUCCUGAUGAUAGAAAACAUAGAGGAGACUAGCAAACAAGGGCAGCAACAACAUGCCAAGAAAUGAUAUUCAUCAUAUGGACUAUUGCCUUCACGGUUAUGAGAGUUGUGGUGGUGGUGAUGGUGAUGAUGGCCCAUCUUUCAAACUUUGACCUGAAUAAAUAAAUUAGUGCUUACUCAUAAUUCAGGAUGUUGCUCAGAAUCUUUAAAAAUGUCGAUGGGUAUGUGUUAGAUCCUCCAAAAUAAUGUAUUUUUGAGGAUUUGACACGAAGACGGCAAUAUUUUUGAAAAGUCUGAACAACAUGGAAUUUAGUCUACUAGCGUAAUGAAAAAUGCAUAUUUCGUUGCAAUUUUUAUCACUGAAUAGAAAGAUGAAUCUUCAGGGAAAAACAUAAUGGGCGUUGAAUGUUGAUGGCCUAUUUUAGAGGCGAACUCAAGAUCGGAACUUUAUGGAUUUGGGGAUUAGGGGGUGUUUGGAUGGUUUUUUUUAGUUAACUUAUAAGCUAAAAGUCAAAAGUAGUUAAUAAUCUAUUUUUGGCUUUUGAUUUUGUUUUUGUUUUUUUGGUGUUUUUUUGCCUAAAGUGAAGUGCUUAAAAGCAUUUUUUGUGUUUACCAAACACCUCCAGAAAUAUUCCUUCCAUUCGCUUUUAUUGUCACUCUUUUCCUAAUUAAAUUUUUAUUUUUACUUGUCAUUUUUGACAUAUUAAGAAAACACUGUCAUUUUUGACAUAUCAAGAAAAGAUUAAAGAAUUUUUCCUAUUUUACCCUUAGUAUUAAUUAUUUAUUCUUCAAACAAUUUUUAAGACAUAUUACACCAACCAUCAAUUAAUAGUGAUAAUAUAAUAAAAUAAUCAUAUCAAUAAUUAUUUUUUUAAUAAAUAUGUCAUGUUGAAAAGUGACAAACAAAAACAAACCAAAAAGAGUAAAAAAGUACAGCCAAAAAAACUUUGAAAAUAAAUCAAUUGAAACACUCUAUUAAUACUUUUUAAGUCAAUGGGUUCUAAAUUUAAUAACUUAUACUCUUGACCCUGGCCGCGAGCCAUCUUCUUCUCGGACCUUAAUACAUAAACCUAGUGAUUACCCAAUAUUGUCCUAGCAAAAUAAUAAAUGCCCACUUUCUUAUAAUUCUCAUCACUAAAUAAUAGAGUGAAUGGCAAAACACACACAUUAAUUAUCACUUUAUACGAGUUUCAUAUCCAACUAUAUAUAUUUGUUUCCUUUCUAUACAUAAAGUAUCACCAUUUAUAUAUUAAAAUAUACUUCAAAACUUAUUAGGGCAACUGUCAGUAGUUUCAUUUUUAUAUUUGAACUAUCACCAUAUAGAUGUUUUUUAAUAAAUAAAUGGUUAUAGAUCACAUAGAAAAUAAAAAAGCUAGCAAUACUUCAAGUAGAAAAAAAAAAUUAUAAUUAAAAUGUGAAACUCGCAAAAAAAGAAAAAGUGAUAAUUUAUUAGUUAAAUCAUUAUAUCUAAAGAAAAGGAUGAAUCUUUAGGAGAGAACAUGGUGGUGAUGAUCUAUCUUCUUUUUUACCUUAAUACAUAAUUAUUCUACUAGUAAAAUUGAAAAUGCUCACUUCCUUAUAAUUCUAGAUGAAUCUUGAAUCAAGAAAUCAACGAGCUUACAAAUAAAUUAUAACAUACCUUGUGAUAUGAACUCCUUUAUCUUUG